UGGAAAAAGUCAUAGAGGUUAUGAGAUUGGCUUGAAACCAGUUUUGGGGGUUCAAUUCCUUCCUUUCUGC
rnacentral:tRNA from 1 species